GUUGAACGCCGGCGGUAUGCUUAACACAUGCAAGUCGAACGAUGAGAAAGAGCUUGCUCUUUCGAUUAGUGGCGGACGGGUGCGUAACGCGUAGGAAUCUACCUAUUAGUGGGGGACAACUUAGGGAAACUUAAGCUAAUACCGCAUACGCCCUACGGGGGAAAGAAGGGGAUCGCAAGACCUUUUGCUAAUAGAUGAGCCUGCGUAGGAUUAGCUAGUUGGUGGGGUAAAAGCUCACCAAGGCGACGAUCCUUAACUGGUUUGAGAGAAUGAUCAGUCAAACUGGAACUGAGACACGGUCCAGACUCCUACGGGAGGCAGCAGUGGGGAAUAUUGGACAAUGGGCGAAAGCCUGAUCCAGCAAUACCGCGUGUGUGAAGAAGGCCUUAGGGUUGUAAAGCACUUUCAAUUGGAAGGAAAACCUCGAAGCUAAUACCUUCGAGUUUGACAUUACCUUUAGAAGAAGCACCGGCUAACUCCGUGCCAGCAGCCGCGGUAA
rnacentral:rRNA from 1 species